rnacentral:rRNA from 1 species
UACGAAGGGGGCUAGCGUUGCUCGGAAUCACUGGGCGUAAAGCGCACGUAGGCGGCUUUUUUAAGUCAGAGGUGAAAUCCUGGAGCUCAACUCCAGAACUGCCUUUGAUACUGGAGAGCUGAGUCCGGGAGAGGUGAGUGGAACUGCGAGUGUAGAGGUGAAAUUCGUAGAUAUUCGCAAGAACACCAGUGGCGAAGGCGGACUCACUGGCCC